rnacentral:rRNA from 1 species
UACGUAGGGUGCGAGCGUUGUCCGGAAUUAUUGGGCGUAAAGAGCGCGCAGGCGGUCAUUCAAGUCGAGUGUGAAAGCCCCCGGCUCAACUGGGGAGGGUCAUUCGAUACUGAUCGACUGGAAGGCAGGAGAGGGAAGCGGAAUUCCCGGUGUAGUGGUGAAAUGCGUAGAUAUCGGGAGGAACACCAGUGGCGAAGGCGGCUUCCUGGCCUGUUCUUGACGCUGAGGCGCGAAAGCUAGGGGAGCAAACGGG